rnacentral:rRNA from 1 species
CAAGGCUGAGGCGUGAUGACGAGGCACUGCGGUGCUGAAGCAACAAAUGCCCUGCUUCCAGGAAAAGCCUCUAAGCAUCAGGUAACAUCAAAUCGUACCCCAAACCGACACAGGUGGUCAGGUAGAGAAUACCAAGGCGCUUGAGAGAACUCGGGUGAAGGAACUAGGCAAAAUGGUGCCGUAACUUCGGGAGAAGGCACGCUGAUAUGUAGGUGAAGUCCCUCGCGGAUGGAGCUGAAAUCAGUCGAAGAUACCAGCUGGCUGCAACUGUUUAUUAAAAACACAGCACUGUGCAAACACGAAAGUGGACGUAUACGGUGUGACGCCUGCCCGGUGCCGGAAGGUUAAUUGAUGGGGUUAGCGCAAGCGAAGCUCUUGAUCGAAGCCCCGGUAAACGGCGGCCGUAACUAUAACGGUCCUAAGGUAGCGAAAUUCCUUGUCGGGUAAGUUCCGACCUGCACGAAUGGCGUAAUGAUGGCCAGGCUGUCUCCACCCGAGACUCAGUGAAAUUGAACUCGCUGUGAAGAUGCAGUGUACCCGCGGCAAGACGGAAAGACCCCGUGAACCUUUACUAUAGCUUGACACUGAACAUUGAGCCUUGAUGUGUAGGAUAGGUGGGAGGCUUUGAAGUGUGGACGCCAGUCUGCAUGGAGCCGACCUUGAAAUACCACCCUUUAAUGUUUGAUGUUCUAACGUUGACCCGUAAUCCGGGUUGCGGACAGUGUCUGGUGGGUAGUUUGACUGGGGCGGUCUCCUCCUAAAGAGUAACGGAGGAGCACGAAGGUUGGCUAAUCCUGGUCGGACAUCAGGAGGUUAGUGCAAUGGCAUAAGCCAGCUUGACUGCGAGCGUGACGGCGCGAGCAGGUGCGAAAGCAGGUCAUAGUGAUCCGGUGGUUCUGAAUGGAAGGGCCAUCGCUCAACGGAUAAAAGGUACUCCGGGGAUAACAGGCUGAUACCGCCCAAGAGUUCAUAUCGACGGCGGUGUUUGGCACCUCGAUGUCGGCUCAUCACAUCCUGGGGCUGAAGUAGGUCCCAAGGGUAUGGCUGUUCGCCAUUUAAAGUGGUACGCGAGCUGGGUUUAGAACGUCGUGAGACAGUUCGGUCCCUAUCUGCCGUGGGCGCUGGAGAACUGAGGGGGGCUGCUCCUAGUACGAGAGGACCGGAGUGGACGCAUCACUGGUGUUCGGGUUGUCAUGCCAAUGGCACUGCCCGGUAGCUAAAUGCGGAAGAGAUAAGUGCUGAAAGCAUCUAAGCACGAAACUUGCCCCGAGAUGAGUUCUCCCUGACUCCUUGAGAGUCCUGAAGGAACGUUGAAGACGACGACGUUGAUAGGCCGGGUGUGUAAGCGCAGCGAUGCGUUGAGCUAACCGGUACUAAUGAACCGUGAGG